CCUGAGAAACCCGAAAGAUCGAACGGGGAGAUUCACCGUCAGCGACGUUGGCUUUUCGGCGGUUCGUGAUGCGCGCGGUGUCCUUUCGGGCGUCCGCGUCGCACGCGUCCGCUGUGUCUCAAUGCCCGGCGGCGUCGGCGUGCACUUCUCCCCUAGUAGGACGUCGCGACCCGUUGGGUGUCGGUCUACGGCCCGGGCUGUCGCCUGUUCCGGACGUUUCGGCGUCGCGGGGCAGACACCCGGUCGCCCGGCCGGCUGCCCGGCGGUACUCGCACGGUAUAUGGCCGCAAUCGAACUGCGUCUCAGGCCCGUUGCAAGCGCGGACAGUGUCACCGGGGUGUGCGGACCUAGCGCCGUUCCUCCGGGCCUGUCCCGUUGUUAGCCGACGGUGUCCUCUGACUGGUCGAAUAUAUGUGAUACCGGUCGGCGACGCUACUGCUUUGGGUACUUUCAGG
rnacentral:rRNA from 1 species